GUACCCGUAGCUCAGUUGGAAGAGCGUCAGUUUCCGAAGCUGAAGGUCGCUGGUUCGAUCCCAGUCGGGUGCG
rnacentral:tRNA from 2 species